CAGACGCAUCGGCAUCGCGCCUUGCGCGCCGCCGCCGCCCCCUCCCUCCUGCAGUCCGCGCCGCCUCCUCCCUCACUCCGGCGAUGCAGAACUCCGCAAAAUCCCCAGCGCCGCCCUCCCUCCCUCCCUCCCCAGCAGUCCGCGCGGCUACCCUUGCAUCUGUGCCCGUGCCGUCCCGUGCACAGCAAGCCGAAGCACGGCCGCCUCUAAUUCAUGGCGCCACCAUGCCCUCCGGACCCGCACAGUUCUUGUUGCGCCAGGCCACCAAAUCUUCUCCUUCCCGGCCUCCCUCUACCUGCACGGUUCAAGAACAGAUGGAGUUGGCUUCACAAUCUUACUUUUGGAGACAACGCCAGUGUUCAUAUUGCUAAAGUAGAUAGAGAUAUAAGAAGUUUGUUCAAUGGUUACUCAUCUGAAACGGGAGUCAUUGCAGUCUUCUACUCAAGUAAAUGGCACUGCAUCUUCACUAAAAGGUCACUGGGCUGAUUGGAGUACACAUGUGAGUGCUGAAAGCAAUCAAGUCACCGGGGAACUCGACAUAUAUCUUCAUGAUGAUAUAUUUCUAUGUGACGAUGACAGCUUCGAUAUCUUGCACUGGUGGAAGAUGCACACAACAAAGUACCCGAUUGUAGCACGUAUGGCCCGAGAUGUAUUGGCUGCUCCUGCAUCAACGGUACCUUCUGAAUCUGCGUUCAGUACAGGAGGCUGAAUCAUCUCUGACCAUAGAACUAGGCUGUCAGGCAACACUGUGGAAGGUUUGAUUUGCUUCCAGGAUUGGCUUAGAGAAUCAGGUUCAUCUUACUUGGACAUCAUAAAGAUUAACAGCUCCGGUAGCAGCAUUGAAGAUCUUGGAGUUGCAUGAUGACUUGAAAGACAAGGUCAGUCUCUAUAGCUGCAUGAUUUAUAGCGCAUGGUUUGAUAUUCAAUAAGCAAAUUCACCUAUAGCUGCUAUCAAAAUUCCACGUAAGGGUUCCUAUUGGGAAAUUCUUGUUGGAGCUUCCAGCUGGGAUGCUAGAUGAUGAAAAAGGUGAUUUUGUUGGCACCGCAGUUCGUGAGCUAUUGGAGACGAGCACAUAUCAGCUGCAUCUGCUGAAUAUCUUUCAGUUUUGUUUGAUGGAGAUGGAAUCAUUGGUGGGAUUCUUGCUGGCUUCAUAUCUGAUCAGCUCAAUGCUAGGGAAAAAAUAGUGUCAAGUGAUUGGGAUAGCAUCUGUCAAGUGACGGUCCAUCCACAGUAGAAUUUUGGAUUCAUCAAGCAUUGUGAUGAUGAAUUAAGGUUGUGUAGACGAUGUCAAUGAUGUUUGUUUUUAGUGUAGAUGGUAACUCAACAUGCGUCAAUCAUUUUGUGGUAUCCUUUUAUUAA